AGCGCACCAGCGAUGCGGUAACGUAUCGGCUUGGUAAACCCCAUCCGGAGCAAGGGCAAAUAGGAGCGAUAUCGGUCGGCCCGGCCGUCGCUCGGGUUGCCUGCUUGAGGGCUGCGGUGACGCAGCUCCCAGAUAAAUGGUCAUCUCAGACAGAAUCCGGCUUACACGCCCACUCAAGGA
rnacentral:RNase_P_RNA from 1 species